rnacentral:lncRNA from 1 species
UUAUGGAUCACCUUACUCACAGAAUAAAAAUGCCUUAUAGGAUUUACUAAGAAUUUUAGGUCAGGAACAAGGUCACCCUUGGUUAGUGGGUGGAGAUUUUAAUGAAAUAAUUUACUCAUUUGAAAAAAGGGGAGGUCAUCCAAGGGAGGAGAAAAGGAUGGUAGAGUUUCGCGAAGUCUUAAAAGAAUGCCAACUUAUAGAUGUGGGCUACUCGGGAACAUGGUAUACAUGGGAAAAAGGGAAUUUACCGGAAACAAAUAUCAGAGAAAGACUGGAUAGGGGUGUUGCGAAUGAAAAAUGGAUGGAACUCUUUCCAAGAGGCAAUAUACACCAUUUAACGUCUUCACUUUCGGAUCAUUGUCCCCUUUUAAUAAGCACAACUAAUGAAAGCAUAUUCAAGGGAAUCCCAAGUUUUAAAUUUGAAGCAUGGUGGACCACAAAGGAAUCGAUUGAAGAUGAAAUUAAGAAAUCAUGGGAGUCUUCAAAUGGAUCUAUUUUUGAAAAGAUUGAAAUAUUACAAAUCAGCUUGUCAAAAUGGGCAAAAUCAAUAAAGAAGGAACGGAAGGGGUUGACGGAUAAACUUACAAAGGUGCUCGAAGAUUUAAUGGAGAAAGAACGAGAUGAUGAUAUAAUGGCGCAGAUUAUUGAUAUGAGAAUUCAUCUGAAUAUGGAGAUCGACAAAGAGGAGAUGUAUUGGGAACAGAGAGCACGGGCUAACUGGCUUAAGUUAGGGGAUAAGAAUACUGCAUUCUUCCACAAAUAUGCCUCAAUGCGGAAAAGAAUCAACACAAUAAGCAGGUUGGAUACAGAUGAUGGAAAUGGAAUUUUUGAGGAAUCAGAAAUAAAUGAGACUGCAACAAAGUAUUUCCAGAAUCUAUUUUCGACUAACGGCGUAGGAAAUCUAUCCCAUAUUUUAACAAGUAUUAAUAACAGCAUUUCUCCGGACAUCAACACAACCCUUUUGGCAAAAUAUACGGCAUAAGAGAUCUUUAUUGCAGUAAAAGGAAUGGGAUCCACCAAAGCACCAGGUUACAAUGGUUUUCCGGCACUAUUUUUUCAAAAAUAUUGGCAUAUUAUAGGUAAAGAUAUUGAAAACUUUUGCUUGGAAGUUUUGAACAACGGAAAGGAUUUUGAAGGUGUACAACCCAAAUUUUACCCGGCCCGUACCAGCAAAACAAAAACAGUCCAUUUACAAGACCCAAUGGCCCAAAAUAAUUAAAAAAACCCUAAGGCCCAACAAGCCCACAACCCAAACAUAAAAAGAAACCCUAGCCUCCUAAUCUCUGUCACCAUCAACCACGCUUUUGCUGCCAUCGACGUACGUCCCAUCACCGCCCCACUUGCACCACCUGCUCUACCUGCAAAACAAAGGAGAACACGCAAGCAGAAACAAAGAAGAAAAAAACAAAAACAAAAUCAUGUAUUUCGGCUAUAAAAAAGCCAAUUUUUGUAACAUUAGGGGGAUUUUUAUUUUUUGGAAAAAAAGGGAAAAACCGAUUCAAAAAAGAAAAAAAACAAAGAUUCAAGAAGAAAUAAAAGUAACUUUCUUGUUAUUAUUUCGUUUUUUAUCUCUUUUAUUCUAUUUUUAAUUAAUCUAUUUUUAUUUUUUAUUAUUUUUUACUUCUGUUUGUUCUAAAAUAUAUAUAUGUAUAUACUCAUAUAUAGCAAAAAAAUAUAAAAAGGGAAAAAAUUACCUUUUAAUCUUUUCACGGUGGCCGGUGCGAAGCCGGCGCGAAGGCGGUACGGCGGGGCUUGGCCGGAAUCUAGACUUAGUCCAGAGAGAAAUUUCUUCCCCCCUUUUCUUUUUUCUUCUAAGUGACCAAAUGAUUGUUUUUUCCAAAAAUUACGACUUUUAUACCCUUGUAAAACGACGCCGUUUUGGCCGGCAUCCUUAAGUUUUUAAUUUAUACACACAUAUUUUUAAUUUAUAUCUAUAUACAUAUUUUCUAAAUUUUUUAUAAGUAUAUAUAUUUACGUACUUAUAUAUAUUAUUCUUUCUAAUUUGUAUAUAAAUAUUUACAUCCCUAUUUUUAAUAUAUUUUAAACAUAUAUAUAUAAAUUAUCAUUCUUUACUUGUUUAUAUAUUUUUUAUUAUUUUCAAAUUUUGAUGUAUACUUGCAUAUAUAUCUUUUUACAUUUUUUAAAAUUUUAUUCAUUUUCUUUAUUUACUUAUUUAUUUAUGUUUUCAUUAUUAUUUUAAAAGAAUGUUUUACUUUUACUUGCUUAUAUACUUGUUAUUUUUAUGCUAUUAAUUUGUCAUUUUUAUUUAUCUUAUUUUCGUUGCUAUUGCCCGUAUUAUUUAUGCUUAUAUCAUUGUAUUCAUUUUAUUUUGUUAUGCGUAUUGACACCGUGUUUCAUUUCUACUAUAUUGUGUUAGAUUAAUUUUGUUCAAUGCAUAAAUUGUGAUUUUUGAAUAACCAAAAUCUCGUGUUUAGAUUUGGGAAGGUCAUACCCUAACUUACUGGGUUUCGAUUUUCACAAUAAAUCUAAAUACACGAAUCUUUUCAGACUCAAGUUUUAAACGAUCUCAGGAAUUAAGAAAAGAUCGUGUCCUAACUCACUAGGCAUGAUCCCCUUUUUUAAAAUUCGAGAUAGCCAAAUAUUUUCUUAAAUAAGUAAUUUUUCGGCAUGUAUUCUCGUAUCGAGAAUUCGAUACGUUGUGUCCUAACGCAUUGGAUAUGACAUGUCGUUUUCUCGAGAUGAGCAUUUUUCUAAAAAAUAAUAAAGGUAAUAUUUUGUGUUUGGAAAUUCGAGAAAAUAUGCCCUAACGUGCUGGAUUUUGACUUCUCGUUUGACCAAAUAGCCAAAUAUCCUCUUAAAUCUCAAUCCAUAUCAUUCGAGUUUUUUUAAGGAUCGUACUUUAAAUCUCUUUAAAGUUUUCAAUCUUCGACAUUAAGACAUUAAUUAAUCAACUAGGUACCAAUUUUGGGCGUUACGAGGGUGCUAAUCCUUCCUCGUACGUAACCAACUCCCGAACCCGUUUUUCUAAAUUUCGUGGACCAAAAUCGUUGUUUUAAUAAAUUUAAAUUUUUUAUUAAAAACAACCACUUUUCAAGGUGACCCGAUCACACCUCAUCAAAAAAGAUUGGUGGCGACUCCCAUUUUAAUUUUCUUUUUCAAAAUCCAAGUCGACCUUGUUUUGUCAAAAAAAUUGUGUCAACAGAAGGUUUAAACCUAACUGAGAUUAUACUUAUUCCGAAGACCUCCAACCCCACAAAUCUUGCUAAUUUAAAACCCAUUAGCUUAUGCACAAUUAUAUAUAAAAUUAUAGCCAAAAUUAUUGCCAAUCGUCUUCAGGAAUUCAUUGGAACGUGUAUAGAUAAUGCUCAAAAUGCAUUCGUUCCAGGGAGGCUCAUAUCAGACAAUGUAUUGAUAGCCUAUGAAAUUCUACAUACACUUCGCCAAAAGCGAACGGGGAAAAAAGGAUUCAUGGCGAUAAAGUUGGACAUGAGUAAAGCUUACGAUAGAGUUGAAUGGGCAUUCUUGAAGGAAGUUAUGAUCCGUAUGGGCUUCACACAGGAAUGGGUGUCAUUAAUUAUGAGAUGUAUUUCUACAGUCUCUUAUGUAGUAAACACCAAUGGAAGGAGAGGCAGUGUUUCUAAACCUACCAGAGGACUCUGACAAGGUGAACUACUUAUCCCUUUUCUUUUUCUUAUUUGUAGCGAAGGACUUUCGUCCUUACUAAGGAUUGUAACAAGAGAGGGUUGGAUAAAAGGAGUGAAGGCUAGCAGAAGAGGCCCGACAAUUUCACACUUAUUAUUUGCAGAUGACUGCAUUUUGUUUGGCGAAGCUACAAAAAGCAGAACAAGGAUCUUAAAAGAUAUUUUGAAGGAGUAUGAGACUUGCUCCGGUCAAUGUGUAAAUUUUAAUAAGUCUAUGAUCUUCUUCAGCUCUAAUACAGUGGAAGGGGAUAAAGAGAAUAUCUCUGCUGAAAUGGGAAUAAGGCGCUCGACUAAUAUAGAAAAAUAUUUAAGACUACCAAAUAUGGUAGGAAGGAAGAAGAAGGAAUCUUUUCAGAAUCUAAAGGACAGAAUUAAGUAGAGGAUCAAAAAUUGGAGUACACGUUUUCUAUCUCAAGGGGAAAAGAGGUUUUCAUAAAAUCAGUACUUCAAGCAAUUCCAACUUAUGCUAUGACAUGUUUUCUGCUACCAAAAUCGCUUUGUGGGGAGUUUGAAAAUAUGUUUGCUAGAUUCUAGUGGCAAAAAGGAAAAGGCAAGAAAGGAAUUCAUUGGUGCUAAUGGGAAUAUAUGUGUAGUUCUAAAGAGGAGGGAGGUAUGGGCUUUCGGAAUAUGGCGCAAUUUAAUAUAUCACUACUAGCUAAACAAGGAUAGAGGAUUAUGAAUAAUCAGAAUGCUCUUGUUACGCAAGUAUUUAAAGCCAAAUAUUUCCCGAAUGACCAUUUUUUAAAUUCCUGUUUAGGAAAUUCUUGUUCUUAUGUGUGGAAAAGUAUUUAGGCAGCUAAAGCUUUAUUGAUAAAAGGACAAUAUUGGAGGGUGGGUACAGGUACUAGUAUAUUCAUUAAAGAUGCUUGGAUUCCAUAUUCAGUUAAUUUUAAAUUAUCAACAGAAAUCAACUCUAUGCGCGAUUCCAAAGUAAAUGAGCUGAUUGACAGUAAUAAUAGAAUUUAGAAAAAGGAGCUGAUUAGUAAUACCUUCAUAGAAGAAGACGCUGCAAGACUCAUCCGAAUCCCUCUAGCACGAACACCUUAUGAAGACUUUCUUAUUUAGGGAGGUGAGAUGUCGGGUGAAUUUAAGGUCCGAAGUGCCUAUAAACUAUUACAGAGAUCGGAUGAAAAUCCUAGAGCUUAUGCUUUACAAACCAUCUACAGAAAAUUUUAUAAACAACUUUGGAGCCUGAAUCUACCAACAAAAAUAAAGGUUACAAUAUGGAGGCUAUCAUGGAACUAUCUACCUACAAAGGUAAAUAUGUAGCACAGGAAGCUAGCAGUCAAUACAAGUUGUUCCCGAUGUGGAGAAAGAGCUGAAACAAUAAAUCAUUUAUUUCGUGAAUGCCCUGUUACAAUUGAUGUAUGGAGAGCAUUAUCAUUUCAGAAUAUUAUGAUGAAUCAAAGCGAGGACUUUGUACAGUGGUUUACCUGGGUGCUAGCGCAACUCAACCCUUGUCAAGGUCGGCUUUUCUGUUAUGCACUUUGGGCCAUAUGGGGAGAUAGAAACAAAAGAUUACACUAAGGAAAAGUCAGAAAUGGGAAGGAAAUUGCAAAAUUUAUAAACAAUUACAUCACUGAGAUAACUGGUUUUGAAAAAAGAGAUCCGAGAAUAAUAAAAGAAAACAAGAGAUGGAAGUACCCACAGUGGGAGUUCAUCAAGAUCAACUUUGACGGUGCAUAUAAUGAGAGCCAAAAUCGGUCAGCUUCAAGUAUUAUGGCCAGAGAUUCGGAAGGAAAAGUUCUUUUAUCUUGUUCAGAAAUCCACGAUGACAUAUCAUCUGCUUUUGCUGCUGAAGCAAUAGCCUGUUGGAAAGCAGUCCAAGUAGGAGUUGAAAAGGGAUGGCAGUCACUCAUCUUUGAAGGAGAUUCCCUCGCAAUAAUCAAGAAAUGUAGCACAAAGGGUCAAGAUCGAUCAAUGGUAGGGGCAUACAUUUAUGAUAUCCAACAGAAAAUACAUGGACUAAAUAAUAUCAGAUUUCAACAUACACCAAGAUCUGCAAACAAUCUUGCACAUAUUCUUGCAACAGAAACGCUAAGAAGAAGAGAGGAAAUAUACCUGGAAAUGGGAGUUCCCGAGUAUGCUGAGGAUCAAACACGGUAUGAUGGGGUGAACGAGCCAGACUAGGAAAGCCUCAGGAGAUGAAGAAUGGAAGAGAGAAAGUUUCAAAACAAAAAGAAAAUAGAACGAUCUACAAGGAAAGUUUUGAAAAUGAAAUCGUCAAAAGGAAAAUGAAAUGACAGAAAGAGGAGAAGACAGAUAUCAGUAAAUUCUGAUUGGGCAACGGAUCAACGCAUUUAGUGUCGUUUCUAGAAUUUUCCAUUAUAAUAUCUAGAUAUUUUGUUUGUCUAUGGCCAUCUGAAUUGGGUCGUUUCCUUAGGUUUAGGUUUCAAUUUUUGAAUUUAUGUUUUUUGGGC